rnacentral:rRNA from 1 species
CCUUACCUACUCUUGACAUCCAGAGAAGCCAGCGGAGACGCAGGUGUGCCUUCGGGAACUCUGAGACAGGUGCUGCAUGGCUGUCGUCAGCUCGUGUUGUGAAAUGUUGGGUUAAGUCCCGCAACGAGCGCAACCCUUAUCCUUGUUUGCCAGCGAGUAAUGUCGGGAACUCCAGGGAGACUGCCGGUGAUAAACCGGAGGAAGGUGGGGACGACGUCAAGUCAUCAUGGCCCUUACGAGUAGGGCUACACACGUGCUACAAUGGCGCAUACAGAGGGCAGCCAACUUGCGAAAGUGAGCGAAUCCCAAAAAGUGCGUCGUAGUCCGGAUUGGAGUCUGCAACUCGACUCCAUGAAGUCGGAAUCGCUAGUAAUCGUAGAUCAGAAUGCUACGGUGAAUACGUUCCC